AGAGUUUGAUCAUGGCUCAGAACGUACGCUGGCGGCACGCCUAAUACAUGCAAGUCGAACGAAGUAGCAAUACUUAGUGGCAGACGGGUGAGUAACAUGUGGGUAUCUUCCCUUUGGUGAGGAAUAACACGAGGAAACUUGUGCUAAUACCUCAUAAGUCUUUACAGAGAAAGCUUUAUGCGCCAUUGGAUGAGCCUGCACUUGAUUAGUUUGUUGGUGGGGUAAUGGCCUACCAAGACAAUGAUCAAUAGCUGAUUUGAGAGGAUGAUCAGCCACAUUGGGACUGAGACACGGCCCAAACUCCUACGGGAGGCAGCAGUAGGGAAUCUUGCACAAUGGAGGAAACUCUGAUGCAGCGAUGCCGCGUGAGUGAAGAAGGCCUUUGGGUUGUAAAGCUCUUUCGUCGGGGAAGAAAAUGACUGUACCCGAAUAAGAAGGUCCGGCUAACUUCGUGCCAGCAGCCGCG
rnacentral:rRNA from 1 species